CACCUGGCGAACGCGUUGUCUGCGCUUGUCCUCGGCGGCAGAAUUUCGCCUCGGUCCCUUGCAGCAGCCAGUCAGUGAGAGAGAGAGAGCGAGAGAGAGAGGCGGCAGGAGCAGCAGCAGCAGCAUCCGCUCCUCCUCCUCCUCCUCCUCUUGCUGCUGCUGCUGCUGCUGCUGCCUGGGUCCAGCUCGCCUUCGCCCAGCCUCCUCUCCCUCCCUCCUUCCCUGCCUGCCUGCCUGCUUCGCUCGCCCACCCGGGCUGCUGACAACCCGCGCGGCGCCACCGGGAUCUGGCUGGACUCCUGCGCGCAGAGAACCAUCAAGCCCUGAAUCCCCAAACCCCUCAUCUGGCUGAACCACAACACUUCUCAUUCAAGAAGCCAGGGACAGCGCAUGAUGAAGCUGGAGUAGAUGGGAAACACUGUGAAACGGAAUCUUGCAUGGAUCUCUUUCCUGAGUACAAAAACUGCAUUU